rnacentral:tRNA from 1 species
CUCGCCAUAGUACAGUGGAUAGUACAACUGCCUCCUAAGCGGUAGACACAGGUUCGAUUCCUGUUGGCGGGA